GAUGAACGCUGACAGAAUGCUUAACACAUGCAAGUCGAUGGGGAAGUGGUGCUUGCACCAUGGUAACCAUGGCGGACGGGUGAGUAACGCGUAAGGAACUUGCCUGCGGGACUGGGAUAACAGCAGGAAACUGCUGAUAAUACCGGAUAAGGUCAUUAAGCUGCAUAGCUUAGUGAUGAAAGGAGACGCCUGCGGAGAGCCUUGCGUCCUAUUAGCUAGUUGGAGGGGUAACGGCCCACCAAGGCGAAGAUAGGUAGCCGGCCUGAGAGGGUGGACGGCCACAAGGGGACUGAGAUACGGCCCUUACUCCUACGGGAGGCAGCAGUGGGGAAUAUUGGACAAUGGGGGCAACCCUGAUCCAGCAAUUCUGUGUGCACGAAGACGGUUUUCGGAUUGUAAAGUGCUUUCAGCAGGGAAGAAGGAAGUGACGGUACCUGCAGAAGGAGCGACGGCUAAAUACGUG
rnacentral:rRNA from 1 species